GAGAUACCGUCCAGACUCUACGGAAGCAGCAGUACGAAUUUUCACAUGAACGAAGUCGGAUGAGCAUGCGCGUGAGUGAUGACGUCUCGGAUGUAAAGCUCUGUUGUAGGAGAAAUACUAGAAGAGGAAAUGCUUUUAGUUUGACGGUACCUUACCCAGAAAGCCACGGCUAACUAUGUGCCAGCAGCCGCGGUAAUACAUAGGUGGCAAGCGUAUCCGGGAUUAUUGGGCGUAUAGGGUGCGUAGGCGGUUAGUUAAGUUUGAGGUCAAAGCCCGGGGCUCAACCCUGGUUCGCCUUGAAAACUGGCUGACUAGAAUACAGGAGAGGUAGAUGGAAUUCCAUGUGUAGCGGUGAAAUGCGUAGAUAUAUGGAGGAACACCAGUGGCGUAGGCGGUCUACUGGCCUGUUAUUGACGCUGAGGCACGAAAGCGUGGGGAGCAAAUAGGAUUAGAUACCCUAGUAGUCCACGCCGUAAACGUUGAGUACUAAGUGUCGGCAUUAUGUCGGUGCUGCAGCUAACGCAUUAAGUACUCCGCCUGAGUAGUAUGCUCGCAAGAGUGAAACUCAAAGGAAUUGACGGGGACCCGCACAAGUGGUGGAGCAUGUGGUUUAAUUCGAAGCAACGCGAAGAACCUUACCAGGGCUUGACAUCCAGUGCAAAGCUACAGAGAUGUAGUGGAGGUUAACAUUGAGACAGGUGGUGCAUGGUUGUCGUCAGCUCGUGCCGUGAGGUGUUGGGUUAAGUCCCGCAACGAGCGCAACCCUUAUCAUUAGUUACUAACAUUCAGUUGAGCACUCUAAUGAGACUGCUAGUGUAAGCUAGAGGAAGGUGGGGAUGACGUCAAAUCAUCAUGCCCCUUAUGUCCUGGGCUACACACGUGCUACAAUGGCUGGUACAAAGAGUUGCAAUCCCGCGAGGGGGAGCUAAUCUCAAAAAGCCAGUCUCAGUUCGGAUUGAAGUCUGCAACUCGACUUCAUGAAGCCGGAAUCACUAGUAAUCGCGAAUCAGCAAUGUCGCGGUGAAUACGUUCUCGGGUCUUGUACACACCGCCCGUCACACCAUGAGAGUUGGUAAUACCAGAAGUAUGUAUCUUAACCGCAAGGAGGGAGCGUACCAAGGUAGGACUAGCGAUUAGGGUGAAGUCGUAACAAGGUAACCGUA
rnacentral:rRNA from 1 species